AACGAACGCUGGCGGCAUGCCUAACACAUGCAAGUCGAACGAGACCUUCGGGCCUAGUGGCGCACGGGUGCGUAACGCGUGGGAACUUGCCCUUAGGUUCGGAAUAACUCCCCGAAAGGGGUGCUAAUACCGGAUAAUGUCUUCGGACCAAAGAUUUAUCGCCUUUGGAUGGGCCCUCGUUGGAUUAGCUAGUUGGUAGGGUAAAAGCCUACCAAGGCGACGAUCCAUAGCUGGUCUGAGAGGAUGAUCAGCCACACUGGGACUGAGACACGGCCCAGACUCCUACGGGAGGCAGCAGUGUGGAAUAUUGGACGAUGGGCGAAAGCCUGAUCCAGCAAUGCCGCGUGAGUGAUGAAGGCCGUAGUGUUGUAAAGCUCUUUUACCCGAGAUGAUAAUGACAGUACCGGGAGAAUAAGCUCCGGCUAACUCCGUG
rnacentral:rRNA from 1 species